GUGCCAGCAGCCGCGGUAAUACGGAGGGUGCAAGCGUUGUUCGGAAUCAUUGGGCGUAAAGGGCGCGUAGGCGGGUCGUUAAGUCCGACGUGAAAUCCCUCGGCUCAACUGAGGAAGUGCAUCGGAUACUGGCGGUCUUGAGUCCUGGAGAGGGUAGCGGAAUUCCCAGUGUAGAGGUGAAAUUCGUAGAUAUUGGGAGGAACACCGGUGGCGAAGGCGGCUACCUGGACAGUGACUGACGCUGAGGCGCGAAAGCAUGGGUAGCAAACAGGAUUAGAUACCCCCGUAGUCC
rnacentral:rRNA from 1 species